GUUUGAGUUCAGCCUGGCCAACAUAGUGAGACCUCAUCUCUACAAAAAAAUGUUUGUUAAAAAUUAGCCAGAUGUAGGGCCACAAGCCUGUAGCCCCGGCUACUUGGGAAAAGAAGGCAAGAGAAUCACUUGAGCCCAGGAGGUCGAGCCUGCAGUGAGCUAUGAUGACACCACUGUCCUCCAUCCCGGGCCACAGAGUGAGGCCCUGUC
rnacentral:lncRNA from 1 species